CCAUCUAGCACUCCUUCAGUAGGGUAAGGAGUUAUGCACUAUAGUUAUGAGCAUUGGUCCUGGAGCAAAGUCAACAGGCUCAGCUCUUUCUUCCUGUGGGAACUUGCUCUCAGACCAUGAGGCCCACAGCCACACUUCUCUGCUCCCUGGUCGUUGGGUCUCCUUCUCCAGCCAAGCACAGGACCCUUGGAGCAGGAUGUUGCCGCUAGGUUGUUCCGCGGGGUGAUCCAGACCAGGUUCCAUAACAAUAUUGGAGGAACAGACCUGGGAGACAAGUCCACGGCUUU